rnacentral:rRNA from 1 species
UACGUAGGCGGUCUCUUAAGUCAGAUGUGAAAGCCCGGGGCUUAACCUCGGAAGUGCAUUUGAAACUAAGGGACUUGAGUAUGGGAGAGGGAAGUGGAAUUCCUGGUGUAGCGGUGAAAUGCGUAGAUAUCAGGAGGAACACCGGUGGCGAAGGCGACUUCCUGGACCAAUACUGACGCUGAGGCGCGAAGGCGUGGGGAGCAAACAGGAUUAGAUACCCUGGUAGUCC